rnacentral:rRNA from 1 species
GGAGUCUAGCAUGUACGCGAGUCAUUGGGACUCUUUAAACCUAAAGGCGUAAUGAAAGUGAAGGUCCGCCUCGCGCGGACCGAGGGAGGAUGAGCGAUCUCGAGGGAUCGCUCCGCACUCCCGGGGCGUCUCGUUCUCAUCGCGAGAAGAGGCGCACCCAGAGCGUACACGCUGGGACCCGAAAGAUGGUGAACUAUGCCUGGUCAGGACGAAGUCAGGGGAAACCCUGAUGGAGGUCCGUAGCGAUUCUGACGUGCAAAUCGAUCGUCGGAACUGGGUAUAGGGGCGAAAGACUAAUCGAACCAUCUAGUACGUGGUUCCNUCCGAA